rnacentral:snRNA from 1 species
GCCCCUUCGGGGACAUCCGAUAAAAAUGGAACGAUGCAGAGAAGAUUAGCAUGGCCCCUGCGCAGGGAUGACACGCACAAAUUGAGAAAUGGUCCAAAUUUUU